ensembl:lincRNA
CAGAAUAUUUAUUUUGGGACAUGCAGGAUAUUCAUUUGCAAAGCUACACAACAACGAACAACCUGAAAUAAUGGGCCUGGUGAAUAUUCUGCAAUUCCUGCAGCAGUUCCAAGAGGCCUAGCUUUGUAGACUAAAGGAAGGAUUCUGUAGAGUAAAGACUCAUGUUCAACUGCUUACUUGGUUCACUUUUCCAUGGAUCUCCAGCAACACAGUCACGUGAUCCAGACCCACAGAAGGGAGCCGAGAACCCUGCCAGCUCUAAUUACAAGUUCCAAACCCUGAUGACCUCGUUUAGGAACCAGAUUCACAUGCAUCUACGUUGCGUUGGAAAUCUUGGGAGCAGAUGCCUUGCUCACAACUGCCCUUUCUUCAGCUGGACAGGGUAAAUCGCGGCAGUGGGAGUGAUGGGAGUUCCUAAAUGGCCUGUUUUGUCUCCUUCCAACAGUAGCUGGAAUGUGGAAAUGAUUGUGAAUUGGUUUCUGUGUUUGAUAAUCCUGGCCAAGUGCAACCUUUCUUUUGUUAGCUAAAUAUCAUUGGCAUGUAGACCUGAUAUUUGCAUGCCUUUAUGCAUGACAAGUUUUAUUUGUUAACUUUUUCAAUAGUGUGACUUUGGGGCCCAUAACACUGGCCCAGUGGUAGUGUGGCUCCCCUAAGCCCACAUAACUCAGUCCUGUCCUGAGUGUUUGCUAGGUUCGACUUUGACUUCAUGCCAAUUUUUUCCUCCCCUGGCACUUCCGUCCUGUCCUGAGAAAAACUCUGGCCAGGCAACUUCAAGCUCCACUGAGCAGACACCAUCAGGUGAGUGUUUGUGGUACAAUUCCAGUAUAAAAAAAAAGCAGUUUCUAUUUGCUGAGAGAAGCUAAAAAAGCUUCUGAGAAUUUGAAUCUGAGAGAAAAUGACAGAUGUAUUUCCAUUUGUGUUUUCAGGCAGAAUUUUAGAAGGUCACUCUAGGGAAGGGGUUUCCUUGCAUGCUGAACUUCAGUUUCAUCUCUUUUAAAUAAAAGAUACAUAAAAGCAUAUUUAAUAUUCUUUUAAAAACAUUAGAAAAUAAGAACAAGCCUUUCUUCAUUCCUCCUUCCUUUUCUACCUUCCUUCCAUCCUUCCCUUCGUCUUUCUCUCUUUAUCUAUCAUUUUAAAAACCCAGCAUUAGUACAAUUUGUCUUUUUGGGUAAAUACACUUCAGGAUUUUCCUGGGAAAAAUGGCAGACUUCAAGUAGGACAUAUUGAAGACAAGAAACAUUUAUUGGUGAAAAGAGUUAAAUACUUAAUGAGGAAUCUCAUGUUUGGCUUUUGACUCAUUUUAAAGAACACAUUGGCUUUAAUUAUAAGCCUUUUAUUUGCUUUCCAUUUGCAAAGUUCUUUUAUGUUAAUUAUUUUCUUUAUUUCUUUCAGUAAACUUGAGAGGAGAAUAUAUUAUGAUUUUUAGAUUAAGGAAACUGGCUCUGAGAGAUGUAAGAUGGUGGACCAGGUACACACAGCAUUCUGUUGCUCCGCGACCUUAGAAAUGUGCCUGUGUUUAUCGGUGUGUGUGUAUUCAAUGACAAGAGCAGGAAUCUUUCCAGGGGGUCAUUAAUUGCAAGGAAUCUUGGAAAGGUGGAAAGCAGAUAGAGGAAGGAAAUCCCAAUCUGAAAUGCUCACAGAAAGUAACCUUAUAAAAGAUUGGAGAGGUACCAAGAGGAGGUAGAUACCUGAAGCAGGUGGAUUUGGAGACAACUAACAUGGUAUCAUAUACCCAUCUUGUAAGUGAUAGAUCCAGGAGUUGAGCCCAGGCUUUUCUCUCUAAUGCCUGUGUUCCCACCACAGGCGCAGGAGACAUUGGACUUGGCUGGGUGUACCCAGCCCAAAAUGAACAGAUACCUGGAAGCAUCUUCUUAAUUUGAACUCUGCUUUAGUAAAGUGUAUAAUUCAAGAUUAAUUAUGAUUUGUUUCUUUCUCUUUGUUUGGUUUCAACAAUUUUUUCUUGCUUUUGGUAAAAUUCGCUUUAUUGAAGAGUAAUUUACAUGCAACAAAAUUGGCCAAUUUUAAGUGUAUAAUUUGAUGAGUUUUGAUAGAUGCAUAGAGUAUGUAUCUACUACUGUAAUCAAGAGAUACAGUUUCUCAAAAAUUAGACAUAGCGUUACCAUACAAGCCACCUGUUCCAGUCCUGGGGAGAUGAAAAUAUCUGUUUCAUGCAAAAACUUGGGCAUGAAUGCCCAUAGUAGUAUAUGACCCCCCAAAAUUCUUUUGUGCCCCUUUGUAGGCAUUCCCCUUCCCCCACCUCUUUGUCCAUAGCAAUCACUGAUCUGCUUUUUGUCACUAUAGUUUUGCCUUUUCUAGAAUUUCAAAUAAACAAAAUCAUACAAUAUUUAAUCAUUUGUGAUUGCUUUUUUUAGCAUAAAAUUUUGGAUUCAAUCCAUAUUGUUUCAUGCAUUGUUAAUAUGUUCUUUUUUAUUGCUGAAUAGUAUUCUGUUCCAG